rnacentral:rRNA from 1 species
UACGUAGGGGGCCAGCGUUGUCCGGACUUACUGGGCGUAAAGCGCGCGCAGGCGGACCUGUAUGUGCCGUGUGAAAGCGCCGGACUUACUUCGGCGAGGUCAUGGUAGACAGCGGGUCUGGAGCCUCGGAGAGGUCGGUGGAAUUCCUGGUGUAGCGGUGAAAUGCGCAGAUAUCAGGAAGAACACCAAUGGCGAAGGCAGCUCUCUGGGACGGUACUGACGCUGAGACGCGAAAGCGUGGGGAGCGAACAGG